rnacentral:rRNA from 1 species
UACAGAGGGUGCAAGCGUUAAUCGGAAUUACUGGGCGUAAAGCGUGCGUAGACGGUAGCGUAAGUCGGGUGUGAAAGCCCGGGCUCAACCUGGGAAUUGCAUUCGAGACUGCUCUGCUAGGGUGCGGAAGAGGGAAGCGGAAUUUCCGGUGUAGCGGUGAAAUGCGUAGAUAUCGGAAGGAACACCAGUGGCGAAAGCGGCUUCCUGGUCCAGCACCGACGUCAGGCACGAAAGCGUGGGGAGCAAACAGG